GUCCGUCGUGAAGAGGGAAACAACCCAGACCGCCAGCUAAGGUCCCAAAGUCAUGGUUAAGUGGGAAACGAUGUGGGAAGGCCCAGACAGCCAGGAUGUUGGCUUAGAAGCAGCCAUCAUUUAAAGAAAGCGUAAUAGCUCACUGGUCGAGUCGGCCUGCGCGGAAGAUGUAACGGGGCUAAACCAUGCACCGAAGCUGCGGCAGCGACACUGUGUGUUGUUGGGUAGGGGAGCGUUCUGUAAGCCUGUGAAGGUGGCCUGUGAGGGUUGCUGGAGGUAUCAGAAGUGCGAAUGCUGACAUAAGUAACGAUAAAGCGGGUGAAAAGCCCGCUCGCCGGAAGACCAAGGGUUCCUGUCCAACGUUAAUCGGGGCAGGGUGAGUCGACCCCUAAGGCGAGGCCGAAAGGCGUAGUCGAUGGGAAACGGGUUAAUAUUCCCGUACUUGGUGUUACUGCGAAGGGGGGACGGAGAAGGCUAUGUUGGCCGGGCGACGGUUGUCCCGGUUUAAGCGUGUAGGUGUGUGUUCCAGGUAAAUCCGGUUCACUUUAACACUGAGGCGUGACGACGAGGCACUACGGUGCUGAAGCAACAAAUGCCCUGCUUCCAGGAAAAGCCUCUAAGCAUCAGGUAACAUCAAAUCGUACCCCAAACCGACACAGGUGGUCAGGUAGAGAAUACCAAGGCGCUUGAGAGAACUCGGGUGAAGGAACUAGGCAAAAUGGUGCCGUAACUUCGGGAGAAGGCACGCUGACACGUAGGUGAAGUGAUUUACUCAUGGAGCUGAAGUCAGUCGAAGAUACCAGCUGGCUGCAACUGUUUAUUAAAAACACAGCACUGUGCAAACACGAAAGUGGACGUAUACGGUGUGACGCCUGCCCGGUGCCGGAAGGUUAAUUGAUGGGGUCAGCGCAAGCGAAGCUCCUGAUCGAAGCCCCGGUAAACGGCGGCCGUAACUAUAACGGUCCUAAGGUAGCGAAAUUCCUUGUCGGGUAAGUUCCGACCUGCACGAAUGGCGUAAUGAUGGCCAGGCUGUCUCCACCCGAGACUCAGUGAAAUUGAACUCGCUGUGAAGAUGCAGUGUACCCGCGGCAAGACGGAAAGACCCCGUGAACCUUUACUAUAGCUUGACACUGAACAUUGAGCCUUGAUGUGUAGGAUAGGUGGGAGGCUUUGAAGUGUGGACGCCAGUCUGCAUGGAGCCGACCUUGAAAUACCACCCUUUAAUGUUUGAUGUUCUAACGUGGACCCGUAAUCCGGGUUGCGGACAGUGUCUGGUGGGUAGUUUGACUGGGGCGGUCUCCUCCUAAAGAGUAACGGAGGAGCACGAAGGUUGGCUAAUCCUGGUCGGACAUCAGGAGGUUAGUGCAAUGGCAUAAGCCAGCUUGACUGCGAGCGUGACGGCGCGAGCAGGUGCGAAAGCAGGUCAUAGUGAUCCGGUGGUUCUGAAUGGAAGGGCCAUCGCUCAACGGAUAAAAGGUACUCCGGGGAUAACAGGCUGAUACCGCCCAAGAGUUCAUAUCGACGGCGGUGUUUGGCACCUCGAUGUCGGCUCAUCACAUCCUGGGGCUGAAGUAGGUCCCAAGGGUAUGGCUGUUCGCCAUUUAAAGUGGUACGCGAGCUGGGUUUAGAACGUCGUGAGACAGUUCGGUCCCUAUCUGCCGUGGGCGCUGGAGAACUGAGGGGGGCUGCUCCUAGUACGAGAGGACCGGAGUGGACGCAUCACUGGUGUUCGGGUUGUCAUGCCAAUGGCACUGCCCGGUAGCUAAAUGCGGAAGAGAUAAGUGCUGAAAGCAUCUAAGCACGAAACUUGCCCCGA
rnacentral:rRNA from 1 species